rnacentral:lncRNA from 1 species
GCAUUCAUCAUAAUAAUUUUUACUCAACAUGUAAAUUAUUAAAAAAAAAUCCUGUCACACAAAAAGCGUCACACUCCUGACAAAUUUGACAUGUUUUUUUAAUAAAACUUUUGGCUGGUACAAGAUAUCUAAAUGAAAUUUGGCUGCAAGUUAGCUGGUAUUGAACUUGUUGGUUUGACAUUUAAUUUACUUUCCUAAAUAUAAUGGGGGAAACAAUAUGCCCCAAUAUGUUAAAAUCUUCAUUUUUUCUGAUUCCACCCAAAUAACAACCUAUCA